rnacentral:rRNA from 1 species
CACGUAGGGCGCAAGCGUUGUCCGGAAUUAUUGGGCGUAAAGAGCUCGUAGGCGGUCUGUUGCGUCCGCUGUGAAAACUCGGGGCUUAACCCCGAGCCUGCAGUGGAUACGGGCAGACUAGAGGUAGGUAGGGGAGAAUGGAAUUCCCGGUGUAGCGGUGAAAUGCGCAGAUAUCGGGAGGAACACCGGUGGCGAAGGCGGGUCUCU